rnacentral:lncRNA from 1 species
CGGGGCCAUCGCGUUGCCACUUCCUUUGUGACCUGGAACUUUGGUGCGACGCGGGGGAAAUCGCGCUGAGACACUGGAAAAUGGAUGAAUUCUGAAUUUGGGCCCUGGCACAAACUUACAAUAAUAUAGGACCCCUACUAAAAUUUUCCAAAUGCUAUUUCCUCCUGUGGCGCGGUGCGCCACUAACUAAUAUGUCGCUGUUU